rnacentral:rRNA from 1 species
AGAGUUUGAUCCUGGCUCAGGAUGAACGCUAGCUACAGGCUUAACACAUGCAAGUCGUGGGGCAGCAUGGGAGAUGCUUGCAUUUCCCGAUGGCGACCGGCGCACGGGUGAGUAACGCGUAUCCAACCUGCCCUUCACUCCGGCACAGCCCGUCGAAAGACGGAUUAAUGCGGGAUGCAGUCAGAAAGAUGCAUAUUAAUUUGACGAAAGGCCUUCGGGCCGGUGAGGGAUGGGGAUGCGUCCGAUUAGCUUGACGGCGGGGUAACGGCCCACCGUGGCGACGAUCGGUAGGGGUUCUGAGAGGAAGGUCCCCCACAUUGGAACUGAGACACGGUCCAAACUCCUACGGGAGGCAGCAGUGAGGAAUAUUGGUCAAUGGGCGAGAGCCUGAACCAGCCAAGUAGCGUGCAGGAAGACGGCCCUAUGGGUUGUAAACUGCUUUUAUGCGGGGAUAAAGUGAGCCACGUGUGGCUUAUUGCAGGUACCGCAUGAAUAAGGACCGGCUAAUUCCGUGCCAGCAGCCGCGGUAAUACGGAAGGUCCGGGCGUUAUCCGGAUUUAUUGGGUUUAAAGGGAGCGUAGGCCGUCUCAAAAGCGUGUUGUGAAAUGUCCGGGCUCAACCGGGGCCGUGCAGCGCGAACUGUGAGACUUGAGUGUGCGGAAGGUAUGCGGAAUUCGUGGUGUAGCGGUGAAAUGCAUAGAUAUCACGAAGAACUCCGAUUGCGAAGGCAGCAUGCCGCAGCAUUACUGACGCUGAUGCUCGAAGGUGCGGGUAUCGAACAGGAUUAGAUACCCUGGUAGUCCGCACAGUAAACGAUGGAUGCCCGCUGUGAGCCUGUUUUAUGGUUUGCGGCCAAGCGAAAGCGUUAAGCAUCCCACCUGGGGAGUACGCCGGCAACGGUGAAACUCAAAGGAAUUGACGGGGGCCCG